rnacentral:siRNA from 1 species
CUAACCUUGCCAAUGUGCAAUUGC